CCACCGCAUUUCAUUUUCACCCAGAUUUUGUAUUUUUUUAUAACACGUUAAGUUUAGUAUUAUUUUAUUUACAACUUAAGUCAAAUUUAGCGUUCAAACCAUUUGCAUGCAAGCCAUAUCGUUGCGCUUCUUAACAGAAUUUUUCCCAUUUUUUAUGGUGAUUUACUGUACAUUGAGCGGACCAUGAUGGAUCAUCAACAGAAAUGAAGAACCGCGCGACCAACGUACAAACAGAAGCAAUGACGAUGCAAAGAUACAGUGAAUGUAAGUUUUGCUGGUGCAAUGCUUAUGCAAUAAUUUAAAUAUUUUUUCAAACCAAAUAUUUAAAUAUACAUGAAAAAAGUCCUCGAUACUGAUUGAAAUACAGUGCCAAAAAAGAAAUACAAGGCCAAAAAAGAAAUACAUAGCCAAAAAAGAAAUACAGAGCCAAAACGAAAUACUUCGAAAACAGCAAACCUUGAAAUCUUGUAUUAAGUUGUUGGGUCAUUUGAAUGGGCAGGUAAAUGAUUUACUUCUAAUGUUUCGUGCCCGAAUCGAAGUGACCAUGAUUAGUAAUUGAUCAAUAAUUUUAGGCGCAUUCGAAAAUUUAUUUUAAAAGUUUUCGAGUUCUUAAUUAACUGUUCUUUUUUGGUGAAUAGUAGAUUUGCAAAAAUAUAACUUCGUUUUCGCAAAAAUGUACUGGACCUUUCUUCGUUCACUAGCUAGCCAAUGUAAAAUUCGCGAUUUUCCGUCUCAAACCGAGCAUUUCCGACCUAUAAAGUGACGUAAAAGCUUGAUUUUUAUACAUUUUUGUUUCUGAACUUUCGUAAACCUUUCCCUCCUUCCCAACGAAGCAUUAAAUAAAAAAAAAAUUUUCAGUAGAAAAACUAGGCCAAAAAAACCCAAAUAAAACGCUCAAAAAUCAAAUGUGAUAAUUACCCUCCCCAGGUCUCCUAUCUGUUCACCGCGCUAAUUUUGACGCGUGCGCAGACAAAAUUCCUACCUUUCUGUCAUUUGAACAAGAAUAGCUGAUCGUAUGAUGGCAACACAAUUUCGUCCUAUCCCUUAGCCCCGCCACUGGAUAUUAUCCUCCACAAUGGUUGCCGUGACGUCACAUGAAACACUCUAUUUCCGCUUACACCUUGACCUUCUAAUUUCGGCGUUUUUUCACACGAGAAGACUGGGACUUACGUGCCUUGGAGGCGGGGCGGAGGAUGGAUGAAAGCAUGUGACGUCAUACUGACCAAAUGCAAGCCAAAAUUGAUCAAAACCUGCCGUGUAAAGGGCUAGGCUAUCAUGGACAUUAUUUAACAAUUUCGUAGACAUUUAACGUUUAACAAUUUACGUAGACAUUAAGUUCCUUUUCUACCAAACAUUACUCAAGCCUUUAACAUGAUUCGAUCCUAUUUCAUGGACUCAUGGAUCCUUUUUUAAUUUCUAAAGGUGAUGUGUUGAAAUGUUGAUGUGAUGAAAAGAGAUGAUAAAAAGAGAUGAUGAAAAAAACAAAAAGAACCACUCACGAAUGGCAGAAACGAAUGACGACGCAACAAUCGCAAACCACAACAUUGCUAAUAUGAAAGUAGCAAAAUAUUUUACCAAUGUAAGUUAGUUAAAGACAAAAUACUUAUUUAAAGAUCAAAGGGGAUUCAAGUGAAUACAAUGAUUUUCUCAUUGAAAAUAAGCAUGCUAUGAGUUUGCCAAAUUUUUUCGACUUUGAUUUUCAAUUUACGGAGUAUAGAAAUAAUUGACCUCAAAAUCAGGUAAAACGUUUGGGUAAAACUUUCAAAAACGCAAUAACGCAGUGUUUUGCGACUAGCUA
rnacentral:lncRNA from 1 species